GAUGAACGCUGGCGGCGUGCCUAAUACAUGCAAGUCGAGCGAACAGACGAGGAGCUUGCUCCUCUGACGUUAGCGGCGGACGGGUGAGUAACACGUGGAUAACCUACCUAUAAGACUGGGAUAACUUCGGGAAACCGGAGCUAAUACCGGAUAAUAUAUUGAACUGCAUGGUUCAAUAGUGAAAGACGGUUUUGCUGUCACUUAUAGAUGGAUCCGCGCCGCAUUAGCUAGUUGGUAAGGUAACGGCUUACCAAGGCAACGAUGCGUAGCCGACCUGAGAGGGUGAUCGGCCACACUGGAACUGAGACACGGUCCAGACUCCUACGGGAGGCAGCAGUAGGGAAUCUUCCGCAAUGGGCGAAAGCCUGACGGAGCAACGCCGCGUGAAUGAUGAAGGUCUUCGGAUCGUAAAACUCCGUUAUUAGGGAAGAACAAAUGUGUAAGUAACUAUGCACGUCUUGACGGUACCUAAUCAGAAAGCCACGGCUAACUACGUG
rnacentral:rRNA from 1 species